rnacentral:tRNA from 1 species
GGCUUGUGGCUCAGUGGUAUAGUGCUCGCCUAGUAUGUGUGAAGCCCUGGGUUCAAUCCUCAGCACCA